CGAAGGCAGCCUCCGAGUCCUUAACUGACGCUAAAGCUCGAAAGUGCGGGUAUCGAACAGGAUUAGAUACCCUGGUAGUCCGCACGGUAAACGAUGGAUGCCCGCUGUUUGCGAUAUACAGUAAGCGGCCAAGAGAAAUCGUUAAGCAUCCCACCUGGGGAGUACGCCGGCAACGGUGAAACUCAAAGGAAUUGACGGGGGCCCGCACAAGCGGAGGAACAUGUGGUUUAAUUCGAUGAUACGCGAGGAACCUUACCCGGGCUUGAACUGCAGAGGAAAGAUCCAGAGAUGGUGAUGCCCUUCGGGGCCUCUGUGGAGGUGCUGCAUGGUUGUCGUCAGCUCGUGCCGUGAGGUGUCGGCUUAAGUGCCAUAACGAGCGCAACCCCUUUCGUCAGUUGCCAUCAGGUUAAGCUGGGCACUCUGGCGACACUGCCACCGUAAGGUGUGAGGAAGGUGGGGAUGACGUCAAAUCAGCACGGCCCUUACGUCCGGGGCUACACACGUUGUACAAUGGGUGGUACAGAGAGCCGGCGGCCCGCAAGGUCCGUCCAAUCAUGAAACCAUCCUCAGUUCGGAAGGGGUCUGCAACCCGCCCCAGAA
rnacentral:rRNA from 1 species